UCAUGUAAUCUGGAAAUUGUCAUCUUGAUUUAUGUUUUCCUUGGUGAAGCACUUAGCCCCAAAUUGCCUGCUGAUCUGCAUAUUGGUGUCUGACUGUUUGAGUGCGAUUGAUGAAUGUAGCUCUAGUGUAAAGUGCUUUAGUGGUCAGCAUAACUACAAAAGUUCAAUAUAAAUUCAGUCCGUUUACCAUUUCAUUAAUGUUUAAGCCCUAUGUUAGAAGUAAUAGGAUGCUUUAAAACUCUCCUCUGGAUGCCAUUUUCCCCAUCAUCUUUCUUAUGAAUAAUGAGCCCUAAUCUCAGCUGAGGGAAGGGAAUGUUGAUGUUCUGUUGCAGGAGUUAUGAUAUGCCGGUGAUUUAUGAGAAGGUUCACCAUUGGUCCAUGUUUUCUGUGGUUUCCAAACUGAUGCAUGUCAUUGAUUUUCUCACCCGUUCUUCAAUUUCUUCAGAUUGGAGGAGAAUGUGGCUAUUUAAGACAUUUUGCCGACUUCGUGUUGUCAGAAUGGUUCUAUUUAAGUUACUUCUUUUUUUAUUUUUCCACAGGACUACGUGUAAUCAGUUCUGGGUUCUGUUGGUGGAAUUGGACCAAAAUAAUGUUCCCUUUUUUGGGUCUUGUGCAAAUUUUGUUAAUACCCAGAGGGGAGUCUAGACUUACCAGCAGCGCAGAUACUGGACAGGCCAACCACUGCUCACAAGCCCAAGACAGAAAAACUUAGCCCAGCUGUUACAUUUAAGCAACUGAUUAAUGCAGUUGUUUGUUCUUGUACAACAGAAUCCAAGAAACUAUUUUUCUCAGGCAUCAGUGCAACGCUGCAAAA